CAGUCGCCGCGGUAAUACGAAGGGGGCUAGCGUUACUCGGAAUCACUGGGCGUAAAGCGUGCGUAGGUGGUGGUUUAAGUCCGUUGUGAAAGCCCUGGGCUCAACCUGGGAAUUGCAGUGGAUACUGGGUCACUAGAGUGUGGUAGAGGAUAGUGGAAUUUCCGGUGUAGCAGUGAAAUGCGUAGAGAUCGGAAAGAACACCAACGGCGAAAGCACUCUGCUGGGCCGACACUGACACUGAGGCACGAAAGCGUGGGGAGCAAACAGGAUUAGAUACCCCCGUAGUCCCUGUCUCUUAUAC
rnacentral:rRNA from 1 species